GGCUUUACAGCGUGAGGCAAGAUGGCGACCCAGGCGGCAGCAGCACUCCUGGACGAGCUUAUGGGAAGGACCAGGAAUGUUUUACCGCAGGAACGACAACAGAAACUAAGCUGGGACUCUCCUGAGGUUUGCCGUCAUUACUUGGUUAAAUUCUGCCCACAUGAUCUCUUUACAAACACAAAAUCUGACCUUGGCCCAUGUGAAAAGACCAUUCAUGAUGAAGAACUAAAGAGAGAGUUUGAUAUUUCCAACUCCUAUCGCCGCACUGCCUUCGAGGAUGAGUUUGUGAGAUACGCCGAGUCUAUGCUGACAGACGUGGACAAGCGGAUAAGGAAAGGCAAGCAGCGCCUCGCACUUUCGGUCAAAGAUGCACUGGAGAGCAGUACUACGGGGGACGGUCGGGUGGAUGAACAGCUGGAAUUGCUCUCCGAGAGGAUAACAGGUCUGGUGAGUGAAGCAGAGCGUCUUGGCUCGGAAGGCAAUGUUGAGGAGGCCCAGGGACUGCUUAAGCUCUGUGAUCAGCUCAGGGAGGAGAGAGAUGCCCUCCGCCGCAGCAGUGAAAACUCAGUGUGGCAUCAGGCAGCAGAGAUGGCAGCGUCACAAGAGAAGCAGAUGGAGGUGUGUGAAGUGUGUGGUGCCUUUCUCAUUGUGGGGGACGCUCAGCAGCGCAUUGACGACCACCUCACUGGGAAGCAACACGUGGGGUUUGCCAAGCUGCGUCAGGCCAUCCAGGAGAUCAGAGACAGCCGGGAAAAGGCCAGAACAGAACGUGAGGAGCUGCGGGAGAAAGAACGGCAAGAGAGACGCAAGGCCCUGCUGGAGGAAGAGAAAAGAAGGGAGAGGGAAAGAGAAGACCGCCGGAAGAAGGAGGAGGAAAGGCGGAGAAGAAGCUACGAAAGUGACCGAGACAGGAGAGACCGUAGCCGAGACAGAGACCGGGACAGAAGAGAUCGCCGGCGGUCGCGUAGCAGGGACCGGCGCAGUUCAAGCAGUCGUGACCGAGGUGACCGCAGCUACCGCUCUCGAGAGAAUGAUCGGCGGGACAGACAUGGGCGAUCCAAUAGUAGAGAUUAUGAGCGCAGGAGAUAUCGGGAGGAGAAUGGUAGUUAUUAGGAUCCUUAGGGAGCUCUCUGGCAGUGGUGAGGACAGGAGGAGGGACGGGUCCAAAGGCGACGUAGCAAGACGGCAGAGAAGUGGACGAGAUGGGAGGGGCAUUGUGAAGCUUUAAGCAGUGAGUGAUCUCCACUUGAGGUAAGUGGCCACGUGUUUGUUGCUGCUUUCUUCUCUCCUACACAGGGUCUUCACCAGGUGAGUGGCCAGUGGUGCAUUGUGUCUGGGCCGGGUGGAUGGAUGCCAAGUGCUUCUUGUUCCUGUUGUUGCUUCCCUCCCAAUGUAAAUCUUUACUUUAUUUUGUAUUCCCCCACUCCAAUACCCAUUUCUUUUUUAUGUACUAGUAUUUUUAUUCUUUCAUGAUAUAGGCAGAAACAUAACCACUGAAUACCUUACAAGGUUCUGUGAAAAGCAUCUCAAAAUAGACAAGCAAUGUCUAGUGUUGCGUGAUGAGAACUUGAAGACUUGGCUGUGAAGGAGAGGUGGUGUCCCAACGCUAGGUGCCUCUUGACUCGAGCACUUCAUUCCUUGACCCUCACUUUGACUUCUUGACACCAACAUUUUCAUGAGUAAUUCCUCCUGCUGCACCUCAGACACAUCCAGGAUGACAAGAUAUGUGUUGGAAAUGGGAAUAGCAGGAAAGAAAACACAAAAUGAGAAGGUGGAAUUGAGAGGCAAGUUAGGUAUGAAGACCACAGUAUUAGUGGAACAGUAAUGUGCUUGCCUAAAGACUGGGAGGCUGUCCAGCAUACAUACAAUUCAUUCUAGUUGUUUAAAUAUUAAGAUUUAAUUGUUUUCAGUUUAUAUUCUUUAGUCAUACACAUAGAUGUUUGUGGAUUUCCUGUUAACUGCACUGCAUUAUGUUAUUUGCUAAAUUAUGCCAAUACAUUUUUUUUUAUAAUUAGCAUUGUCUAGCAAAAUCUCAACUGGUCCCUUGUCAUUAUGUUUGGCUUACAAAUUUUAACUCUUCCCUCCCAUUUGUGGCCUAGUAGCUACAGAAUAGUAUGUUGACAGUUGGGCAUUUAUGAUCCUUUGUAAAGCUGUAGUGUUGAAUUACUGUGUCUUAUUCCCAGUUGAUCCCUGUCUUGAGAUGCAGUUUUAAGUGAAUUGCUGUUGCUUGCAGAAUUAAACUGCAUUAAGUUGCUAAUCUAAAUAGAAUUGAACAGUGUAAUAUUAAAAUGCUAUUUAUACCAUCAUUAGUAAUCUGUUUUCCUGAAGUUAAUGUGGUGGGAGUCUUGACUUUUUAUAGAUGAAUAAAUAAAUAGAUAACAGUGAGUAGUAACAUCUGAUAUGAGAGGGAGUCAUGGUUGGUAGUUCCACGCUCACUCUGAUUACGUUUUGUGUGUGCCCUCAAUCUUGAGUUUACAAUCUGCAGACAGUCACUAAUCAUCAUGUGUUUCAUAGUCAAAUUCAAUAGCUGGAAACAAUCUCUCCUCGAUGAUCAUGAAGUAGAGAUGCGUAAUUACCACCUGAUAUUUUUUAAUGGCAGUUAAUUUGCCUUUCCUCUAUGAUAAAUUCUUCAAAACAACUUAAUAAGGAUUGAUAAAGUAGGUAAACAUUUUAGGUAGAGAUUAUUACUAUCCAUCUCUGUAUCCCUAAUGCCUCAAUCCAUUUGCCAAGUCAAUCUGUGCUUUCUGUGUAGACAGGCAGUACUUCCACACUGUCCUCAAUCUCAAUCUGUUUCUCAUUACUUCAUAAUAUAUCUUAUCUUGCAGGCGAUCCUCCUCUUAACCUUUCCCAAUCUGACUGUUACUUUUCACAAUAUCAUUAAAACUCAUCUAUAUUCUCGCCCAGCUUUGUGAAGCACGUUCAUGGAAAAUUACUGAAAUAUCAGGUUCUAAAGGAUACAUGUGCAUUGUUCAAGUUACACUAUGCAGCAAAAAUACUCAAAAUCUUUUGAAUAAAGAAGCGAAUAGCUAUAUAUUGUUCAAAAUUGAUCAGUGAGCUUAUUGGCAAUAAGUGAUGUUGCCAGUGUAUGGCAGGCUUGUACUGGGUGUGUUCUGUUCACUGAGGACACACUGGUUGUGGAUGGUUGUGUGGGAUGCCUGGUACAGUACCAUCAGUGUGCCCUUUUAAUGUAGAUCUCUUAUCCCUGGACUGUCUGACAGGUGUAUGGUUUGGGUAACAUUGUGUAUGUAGCAUUACUUACAAAAUCUAUUUACCAAGAAACAGCUGAAAGAGAAGACACUGUAUACCGCCUUGUCUUAGUGUCAUUCUGUGCCUGCCAUUAUUCUUCGUAAUUAGAUUCUUAUUAAAAUACUUUACUGUAAUAACAGGGCACAGGCUCAUCAUAAUCUCAAAGUAAGAGGUUACUUUUGUGCACUUCCUGCAACAUAUUCAAGUUUUCAGUUCUCUUGAUUUCUUGCCAUAUGCUGGAUCUCUGGAUAUGCAAGAUGUCUGGCCUCCUGCCAUGGGCCAUGGGCCAAGUUCAUCUCUGCCCUGGGCUGUAAUGCUGAUGUCAUAGUGGUGGAAUGUGUGAAACAAACUCCUAUGCCUCAACUAUCAUUUGUAUGUGCAAGAGACAAGAACAUGUCCUUGAUUAAUUUAGAGUACUGUAGUUGGCAGAGCAUAGAGAACAGAUGAUACUGAAGGGCCAGUGACUUUUUCUUAAGCUGACUGAUUUUUUAAUAGUUUUGGUGUGUGUGUGUGUGUGAGUGUGUGAGAGAGAGAGAGAGAGAGCGUCUGUAAGUAUGUGCACCUAUAUUGUUCAUGUCUUAUUUUUUCAAGGUAAUAUGACCACAGAUUACUAGAUAUUAGGUGUCACCAGUUUUUUUUCCUCAUUUCAUUCACAUGGUUUGUUUAUUUGACAAUGUGCUGGCAUCCUUGGAACUUUAGAUAUAUUCACCUUACCAAGAGUCAGCAGAUGACAAUGAAAUGCAAGAGAAAGAAUUGUCAUCUGAAUGAAAUGAUGAACAUUUCUCCUCCCCAGCAGUCACACUUGUACUGUGUUCAGAGAGACACAUUGCAGGCUCUUAUGUGUUGUGGCCAUAGACUUUCAUCAUAUCCAGAACACAGAGGUAUUUCUCAGAUAAGACCAAUGUAAUUACUUACUUCAGUUACUUCAGUGUGCCUUGUACAUAACAAUACUAGAUGGGGUAAUGAAUGUAUUGUGAGGGUAAACUACUCGAGUGGACUUUUCUCAGGGUAAAUAACUUUAAUGUAAAUCUAUAGGAGGAAUUUUAAAGAUACACAUGGUUAUUCUCUCUCUCUCUCUCUCUCUCUCUCUCUCUCUCUCUCUCUCUCUCUCUCUCUCUCUCUCUCUCUCUCUCUCUCUC
rnacentral:misc_RNA from 1 species